UACGUAGGAUCCAAGCGUUAUCCGGAAUCACUGGGCGUAAAGCGCACGUAGGCGGACUCUUAAGUCGGUGGUGAAAUCCUGGAGCUCAACUCCAGAACUGCCUUCGAUACUGAGAGUCUUGAGUCCGGGAGAGGUGAGUGGAACUGCGAGUGUAGAGGUGAAAUUCGUAGAUAUUCGCAAGAACACCAGUGGCGAAGGCGGCUCACUGGCCCGGUACUGACGCUGAGGUGCGAAAGCGUGGGGAGCAAACAGG
rnacentral:rRNA from 1 species